CCACUCUUACCACAGUAGCUUGGAUCCAAUGAUGAGGUCUUGGACUUCUCGUCCGCUCUUUGGCUCUGGAGCAUGUGACUCUGCUCUCUGAUCAUGUAUGCAACUGAUGUUGGGUGAUGAUUUGUGUCGAGUGCUCCUCACCCUGUGAACAGGCUCAGAGGUCUCCUUCAACUUCUCAUCUGUCCCAGCAGGUGGCCCAGUCUGUCCCGGAGCGGCCCGAAGCCGCAGCGGUCUGGCUCGCACUGCACGGCCAUGUCCGUCUCCUUCUCCAGGAU